GACGAACGCUGGCGGCGUGCUUAACACAUGCAAGUCGAACGGAAAGGCCCUGCUUUUGUGGGGUGCUCGAGUGGCGAACGGGUGAGUAACACGUGAGUAACCUGCCCUUGACUUUGGGAUAACUUCAGGAAACUGGGGCUAAUACCGGAUAGGAGCUCCUGCUGCAUGGUGGGGGUUGGAAAGUUUCGGCGGUUGGGGAUGGACUCGCGGCUUAUCAGCUUGUUGGUGGGGUAGUGGCUUACCAAGGCUUUGACGGGUAGCCGGCCUGAGAGGGUGACCGGAAACAUUGGGACUGAGAUACGGCCCAGAAUCCUACGGGAGGCAGCAGUGGGGAAUAUUGCACAAUGGGCGGAAGCCUGAUGCAGCAGCGCCGCGUGCGGGAUGACGGCCUUCGGGUUGUAAACCGCUUUCGCCUGUGACGAAGCGUGAGUGACGGUAAUGGGUAAAGAAGCACCGGCUAACUACGUG
rnacentral:rRNA from 1 species